CCUACGGGAGGCAGCAGUGAGGAAUAUUGGUCAAUGGCCGGGAGGCUGAACCAGCCAAGUCGCGUGAAGGAAGACUGCCCUACGGGUUGUAAACCUCUUUUGUCAGGGAGUAAGGUGCAGUUUGUGAACUGCUGUGCGUGUACCUUAAGAAAAAGCAUCGGCUAACUCCGUGCCAGCAGCCGCGGUAAUACGGAGGAUCCGAGCGUUAUCCGGAUUUAUUGGGUUUAAAGGGGGCGCAGGCGGGGGGUCAAGUCAGCGGUAAAAUCGGGGGGCUCAACCCCGAUCUGCCGUUGAUACUGGGAUCCUUGAGUGCGCGAGAGGUAGGCGGAAUGCGUGGUGUAGCGGUGAAAUGCAUAGAUAUCACGCAGAACUCCGAUUGCGAAGGCAGCCUGCCGGAGCGCAACUGACGCUCAUGCACGAAAGCGUGGGUAUCGAACAGGAUUAGAUACCCGUGUAGUC
rnacentral:rRNA from 1 species